rnacentral:lncRNA from 1 species
AGUAAUUUCUCGAAGAAAACACACAAUAUAUAUCUACUUUUGCCCACAAAUGGGAAAAAAGAAAGAUCACUCCCUAUAUUGAUUUGAGUAUGUGGUGCUUCACAACAUAUACAGAUGCCGGUCCGUUCUUCGGACUGCAAGAUUUUCCUUUUAUGUACAGAUGAUUCUUAUAUGCAGGUUCUCAAGAACAAUGUUUCGAUCCCAUCGGAUAGGCUCCUGUCAACAGCGUAGAGGGAUAUUGGUGCUUCAUACGUCUCUUUUACGAUAGAAAAGGAAAGCCGAUACGGAAAGUGUCGAUGGGCAAAGGCAGCUGGAAUCUGCGCCUCACAGAGUUCAUGAAGAAC